CAGCCGCCGCGGUAAUACGUAGGUGGCAAGCGUUGUCCGGAAUUAUUGGGCGUAAAGGGCUCGCAGGCGGUUUCUUAAGUCUGAUGUGAAAGCCCCCGGCUCAACCGGGGAGGGUCAUUGGAAACCGGGAAACUUGAGUGCAGAAGAGGAGAGUGGAAUUCCACGUGUAGCGGUGAAAUGCGUAGAGAUGUGGAGGAACACCAGUGGCGAAGGCGACUCUCUGGUCUGUAACUGACGCUGAGGAGCGAAAGCGUGGGGAGCGAACAGGAUUAGAUACCCCGGUAGUCCCUGUCUCUUAUAC
rnacentral:rRNA from 1 species